rnacentral:rRNA from 1 species
GAUGAACGCUGGCGGCGUGCCUAAUACAUGCAAGUCGAGCGAACAGACGAGGAGCUUGCUCCUCUGACGUUAGCGGCGGACGGGUGAGUAACACGUGGAUAACCUACCUAUAAGACUGGGAUAACUUCGGGAAACCGGAGCUAAUACCGGAUAAUAUAUUGAACCGCAUGGUUCAAUAGUGAAAGACGGUUUUGCUGUCACUUAUAGAUGGAUCCGCGCCGCAUUAGCUAGUUGGUAAGGUAACGGCUUACCAAGGCAACGAAGCGUAGCCGACCUGAGAGGGGGAUCGGCCACACGGGAACUGGGACACGGUCCAGACUCCUACGGGAGGCAGCAGUAGGGAAUCUUCCGCAAUGGGCGAAAGCCUGACGGAGCAACGCCGCGUGAGUGAUGAAGGUCUUCGGAUCGUAAAACUCUGUUAUUAGGGAAGAACAAAUGUGUAAGUAGCUAUGCACGUCUUGACGGUACCUAAUCAGAAAGCCACGGCUAACUACGUG